AGGGAACAAAGAACAAAACAGACAAAAAUGUCUGCUCUUGUAGUGCUUUGGUCCUAGUGAGGGAUAUAGACAGAAUGUAAGAAAGAGUCAGGCUAUUCCUAGCACUGACGUCUGCCUUCCUAGGCUUGACUGGUCACGCGAUGAAGUGAUGAACCGAGAGAAAGGCCAGAGUUCACAGUGAAGAAGAGACUGGACAGUUUGUUGUCUUAGGGAGAUGAGGAAAAGCAUCUUCUGAAGACAAAGGGCUGUUUUACCCGGAGCCCCGGUGAGCACGCGUGAUGUUCUGCCCUGAUGUCACUGGGUGGCGCUGAAGGAGCCCGGAUGGCGAUGCCUUCGCUUCCUACUUCUGCUGGGUCGGAACUGGACUCUUGUCGGUCACAGAAACCAUGUGCCCAGGUGACUCUGAGGA